GCAUAAAGUACUUGUACUUUGAUGGCGACCGGCGAACGGGUGCGUAACGCGUAUGCAACUUACCUUUUACUAGAGAAUAGCCAAGAGAAAUUUUGAUUAAUGCUCUAUACUCUUUUUAACUCACAUGAGUUUUUAAGAAAAGCUCCGGCGGUAAAAGAUGGGCAUGCGUCCUAUUAGCUUGUAGGUGAGGUAACGGCUCACCUAAGCUCCGAUAGGUAGGGGUCCUGAGAGGGAGAUCCCCCACACUGGUACUGAGACACGGACCAGACUUCUACGGAAGGCAGCAGUAAGGAAUAUUGGACAAUGGAGGAAACUCUGAUCCAGCGAUGCCGCGUGAAGGAAGACGGCCCUAUGGGUUGUAAACUUCUUUUAUACAGGAAGAAACCUUUCCACGUGUGGAAAGCUGACGGUACUGUAAGAAUAAGGAUCGGCUAACUCCGUGCCAGCAGCCGCGGUAAUACGGAGGAUCCAAGCGUUAUCCGGAAUUAUUGGGUUUAAAGGGUCCGCAGGCUGUUUGUUAAGUCAGGGGUGAAAUCCUACCGCUCAACGGUAGAACUGCCUUUGAUACUGGCAAACUUGAGUUAUUGUGAAGUAGUUAGAAUGUGUAGUGUAGCGGUGAAAUGCAUAGAUAUUACACAGAAUACCAAUUGCGAAGGCAGAUUACUAACAAUUAACUGACGCUGAGGGACGAAAGCGUGGGUAGCGAACAGGAUUAGAUACCCUGGUAGUCCACGCCGUAAACGAUGGUCACUAGCUGUUCGAUGUACAUUGGUACAUUGAGUGGCUAAGCGAAAGUGAUAAGUGACCCACCUGGGGAGUACGCUCGCAAGAGUGAAAUUCAAAGGAAUUGACGG
rnacentral:rRNA from 1 species